rnacentral:rRNA from 1 species
AUGCGCAUUGUGAAGGUUUUGUCUCUCAGGUCUUUUGGCCUUGAAUUGGAUGCAGUUCUUAACAUCCUUGGGUGGUUUCCCUUUCUGGAAAAGCUCUACAUAAUUUUCCACAAACAUAAGGAGAUGAAUAAUGGAAAUGAGCAUCGGUAUGACCCACUACAUCCAAUUGAAUGCCUUGAGACCCAUCUCAAAAAAGUUGUGUUUAAGUCAUUUGUAGGCCAUGAUAAACAAGUUAACUUUCCCACGUUCUUUAUUUUGAAUGCAAAGGUGUUAAAAAAAUUGAAUUUGAUGUAUAUGGUAGCAGUGUAUCAGUAG